GACGUAGGGUGCAAGCGUUGUCCGGAUUUAUUGGGCGUAAAGAGCUCGUAGGCGGCUUGUUGCGUCGACUGUGAAAACCCGCGGCUUAACCGCGGGCUUGCAGUUGAUACGGGCAGGCUAGAGUUCGGUAGGGGAGACUGGAAUUCCUGGUGUAGCGGUGAAAUGCGCAGAUAUCAGGAGGAACACCAAUGGCGAAGGCAGCACUCUGGGCCGGUACUGACGCUGAGGAGCGAAAGCGUGGGGAGCAAACAGG
rnacentral:rRNA from 1 species